rnacentral:rRNA from 1 species
UGCCAGCCGCCGCGGUAACACGAACUGCGCGAACGUUAUUCGGAAUCACUGGGCUUAAAGAGUUCGUAGGCGGCUUGGUUAGUCAGAUGUGAAAUCCCACAGCCCAACUGUGGAACUGCGUUUGAUACUGCUAAGCUUGAGGGAGUUAGAGGAAAGCGGAACUGAUGGUGGAGCGGUGAAAUGCGUUGAUAUCAUCAGGAACACCGGUGGCGAAAGCGGCUUUCUGGAGCUCUUCUGACGCUGAGGUGCGAAAGCGUGGGGAGCAAACAGGAUUAGAUA